rnacentral:rRNA from 1 species
GACGAACGCUGGCGGCGUGCUUAACACAUGCAAGUCGAGCGGUAAGGCCCUUUCGGGGGUACACGAGCGGCGAACGGGUGAGUAACACGUGGGUGACCUGCCCUCAGCUCUGGGAUAAGCCUGGGAAACCGGGUCUAAUACUGGAUAUGACUCCAUGACGCAUGUUGUGGGGUGGAAAGCCUUGUGCGGCUGAGGAUGGGCCCGCGGCCUAUCAGCUUGUUGGUGGGGUGANGGCCUACCAAGGCGACGACGGGUAGCCGGCCUGAGAGGGCGACCGGCCACACUGGGACUGAGACACGGCCCAGACUCCUACGGGAGGCAGCAGUGGGGAAUCUUGCGCAAUGGGCGAAAGCCUGACGCAGCGACGCCGCGUGAGGGA